rnacentral:ncRNA from 1 species
GGUGUGUUUGAUUGUGGCAGGUGAGUUUAUAUUAAAAUAAGGAUUACAUGAUAUCAAUUUGAGUAUUGUAGAGAUUACUCGCGACGUCAGUAAGGACUAUAUAAACAACCUGUGAGAGCAGGGUUUUGCUUAUUUUAAGAGAUGGGGUAAAAAUGAAUGCCAGCAACUGCGGUUAGAUUCAUUCAUCGAGUAAAUCAAGUACGGAUUUGUUAAUUCAUGAUUAAAUAAGUUAUGGUAUAAAGUCUAGGUAAAGGUUAAAUUUGAAACUAGAACGUGUUUUAUACCAAUUAUAAUUUUAAGGUUUUUUACGUGACUACGAAGUGAAACCAGGAUUAGUACCCUGUUAUCCGUAGUGUAAAAUAGGAUUUCCACCUCACUACUUAUUGGAUUAACAAAGGGAAACAAAUUGGCGGUGUCCGAGUUAAAAAACAGGGGAACCGGGGUGUUAAAGGACGAUCCACCUACAUUUCACCCCUCACUUAAGAGUGCAUGUGUAUGGUUGUUUAAUUGAUAAUGAAAGUUGGCAGUGAAAAAGCUUAUUUAAUUACAGGGUGAUUUUCUCCUGUUAUAAUAUUUUUAAGCCAAAAUUCAGAUUGACAUUCAGCUAUGUGAGGGUUAGCCUGGGUUACAGUGAAAAUUUAUAGAUACUGACGGAUAGGUGUAUGUAAACGUACCUUGGAAGAAGGACUUGUAAGUAAAAGUUAUUAAAUCAUAGUAGCUUGAAUACUAUCGGAUGAGUACAGAUCGCCCGUCGCUCGCAAAGAAAUUUGUGAUAAGUCGUAACAAGGUAGAGGUAUCGGAAGGUGUCUCUAAAAUAAU